UAAUACGUAGGGUGCAAGCGUUGUUCGGAAUCAUUGGGCGUAAAGCGCGUGUAGGCGGUUUGCUAAGUCUGGUGUGAAAGCCCAAGGCUUAACCUUGGAAGUGCACUGGAUACUGGCAAGCUAGAGGACGAGAGAGGGAAGUGGAAUUCCUGGUGUAGGGGUGAAAUCCGUAGAUAUCAGGAGGAACAUCGGUGGCGAAGGCGACUUCCUGGCUCGUAACUGACGCUCAGACGCGAAAGCGUGGGUAGCAAACAGGAUUAGAUACCCUGGUAGUCCACGCCCUAAACGAUGGAUACUAGACGUCGGAAUACCUAAUAGUUUCGGUGUCGCAGCUAACGCAUUAAGUAUCCCGCCUGGGAAGUACGGUCGCAAGAUUA
rnacentral:rRNA from 1 species